rnacentral:lncRNA from 1 species
CGCGAGAAAACUUACUCUCACUUACUCUUGGAAUUUAGAGUAGGAAUUUAGGCUACCACUAAAUUCUCAUCAAUUAAACAAUGAAUCAUCUACGAGCAACAAUUUCAAACCACAAUGAAUCGAGAGCUCAAACUAGCUCUUCCUCUAACUCGUAGAAGGCUUUAAUGAAUCCGAGGCUUCACACAUGACAAUCACACAAUACUCACAGUCAAAUGACAGCCAAGGACCCACUUAAACUAACCAAAAUAAAAGCCUAAGCUACCUUCUAAUGUAACCAAACCCUUUAGCAUGACGAACUUAAAAUGCAAAUAUAUCAAUCUACACUUAAACAUUUUCACAUGAAACAAGUUUCAGUCAUCCCCCAUAUUCAUUUAUAGCUAAACUCCAAUCUUUAAACCACACAAAACUACAAGUUUCAAGGUAUAACAUUUUUCCACAAAUUUUGACCAUAAUAAUGAAAAUUCAUUAAAACACGGGAAAUCUAUAAUGAAACUUAGAAGUAAUUUUAAAAAACUUCUAAUUAAGUUAAAACAAGUUGAAAAACACUUUUAAAUCACUUUUUCAUCCACAAUCUCGAAUUCCACCAUUAAUGACCCAAUUUUUAGGUUUAAAUUAAAACAUGCAAUUUCAUAACUAAAAUCUCAAUUUUAAAGUCUAGAUAACAUUAAAAACUAAUGAGAAAGUAAAUGGUUACCUUUGAUGAAAGAUUAAACGAGUUUUGAAGUAAAUUUGAAAAACCCACAAUUGAAGAAGAAGAUGAAAUCUAUGGCGUUUUUGAGUGUUUUUCUUGGAAUUAUAAGAAAUCAAAGUACUAUUGUUUGGGAAUAAAAAUUAAUUGAAAGAUCAAGGGAAUAGCAAAGGACGGCAAUAGCAAACUUUGG